GCCCGCCGCGGUAACGACGGGUAACGGGGGAAUCAGGGUUCGAUUCCGGAGAGGGGAGCCCGAGAAACGGCUACCACUUCCAAGGAAGGCAGCAGGCGCGCAACUUACCCUAAUCUCGAUUCGAGGAGGUAGUGACAAGAAAUACCGAUGCGGGACCCUACGGGUGCCGCGUUCGGAAUGAGUACGAUUCGAACCACCUAACGAGGAACGAUCGGAGGGCAAGUCUGGUGCCAGCAGCCGCGGUAAUUCCAGCUCCAAUAGCGUACGUUAAAGUUGCUGCAGUUAAAAAGCUCGUAGUUGAACGUUCGGGUUCCGCGGGACGGGGCCGCCCCGCGAGGGACGGCGCCGCCCCGGGGCUCGUGAUAUCUCAUCUCGCCGCCCGUCGCGAGGCGGACGGAGGGAUGGAUGAGGUUACCUGGAAAAAAUCGGGGCGAUCUAGGCGGGCGAACCUCGCCAACGAACGAUCGGACAUGGGAUAACGGAAGAGGGCGUCGGCUCGACUUCGUCGGUUCCUCGGGCCGAGGCACGUACGGUGAAUAGGGACGGUCGGGGCCGCCCGGUACCGGGUCGUGAGAGGUGAAUUCUAGGAUCGA
rnacentral:rRNA from 1 species